rnacentral:tRNA from 2 species
UCCCGGAUCGUCUAACGGCAGGACACCAGGUUCUGGUCCUGGGGAUCGGGGUUCGAAUCCCUGUCCGGGAACCA